ensembl:lncRNA
GAGUAACUGUUGAAUGAAUGCUUGAUUGAGCGCCUUGGUUUCAGUCAGGGCCAAAUUAUGGAGCAUAAAUUCAGAAAUUGGAGACCUUGAGGGGAAAGCAAUUUGGGCCUGAAGUUGGAGGCAAGAGUCUUAUCUCAUCUGAGCCUUAGUUUCCCCAGCUGUGAAAGGAUGGGGAGAAGAGUGGAGAUAUAGAAAAGGCCUGGUAUAUAAUCCUUUUGAGACUUGACCUUUCUUGAGGAUAGAGCCAGGAGUGUCUGCCUGGCCUGUGAACGAUGCUGGGAGGAUCUCAGAGGAGGAGGCAAAUGCAUGUGUUAAACUGGAUUCCUGGGGCUCUGCUGUGCAUCUGAAGUUGGGUAUUCCAUGUCUGGGAUAUCUCUGUGGUUCCUAGAAUGGUGAUGCCAAGUACAGGAAGUAGAAGAGAGUCCAAAGCUGCUUUGGGAAGCCUUCCUUUAACUCAUGCUAUGAGAAGUUGGGUGGCCUAGGUUCAGAACCAGGGUGCGUCUCUAAUGCUGUGCAAACUCGGGUGAAUCCUCUCUGGCCUGUGAGCAUCUUGAGGGCAAAAAUUAUCUCAUUUAUUCCAGAAUUCACAGAUUCAAGCAAGGACCUGUCACAUAAGAAAUGCUCGAAGUAACUAAGCUGAAGCUGAUGUUUACCGUCCCGGGCAUGUGUCAUCUUCUAUUUAUGCAUGCAAAACCUGCAAGUCUAUUGUUACAUAUAUUUCAAAAGUUUAUAUAAAUGGUAUAAUACUGUACACAUUUCUUUGCCAUUUAUUUUUUCAUUCCAUAUUUAUGUUCUGGAGAUUUACCAUAUUGGGAACAUGUUGAUCUAGUUUGUUCAUUUUAACUGUGAUAGAUGAUUUCAUUGUGUUUAUAAAGCAGCUUAUUUUCCUGUUCUCUUGCUGAGAGGCAGUUAGACUGCUCCUCACUUUUCUAUCACAUACUAAGAUGUGGUGAAUAUCCUUGACCACAUAUCCUUUUGCACAUGAAUAUGAGUUUCUCCAGGGCUUCCCAAGUGGUGCUAGUGGUAAAGAACCCACCUGCCAAUGGAAGAGACAUAGAUUCAGGUUCGACCCCUGGGUUGGGAAGAUCCCCUGGAGGAGGGCAUGGCAACCCACUCCAGUAUUCUUGUCUGGAGGAUCCCAUGGACAGAAGAGCCACAGUCCAUAGGGUCGCAAAGAGUCAGACACAACUGAAGUGACUUGGCAUGCACACACACCUGAGUUUCUCUAGGAUGCAUGGAAAACACUCUGGGUUCUGCACCCAGAUUCUAUGACCUGCAGGUGCAACUCAUCCCCCAGCUGCUGUGAGUGCUGGCUGCUAGGGAUUCACAGCUGCUCACAGCUUCUUGGGAACUUCUUUAUUCAGGAAGUUAUAAGUUACCCACCACCUUGCCCCCUACAUUGGGCAGCCCACAGUCAAUGACUGAUGGAUACAGCCAAUGACUGAUGGAUAAGUCUUAUCCGUCAAUGACUGAUGGAUAAGCCAAUGACUGGUGCAAAAGCCUGGCCUCUUUGCCUCAAGGCAGAUUCACUCUGCAACGUUACUAAUGCUUCAGAGCUCCCCAUGGGGUCAGAUUGAAGAUAAUCUCCAGCUGAGAACCUACCAUCACUUAACAUUUCUUCCUAUCCUAUCUGCCUGACCCUCUCUCUCCACCUGAGAGUCCUCCCUCUAGAAACCACCUGCACAAGGAUCUCGGGCACUGCUUAGGGGACCUAACUUCAGACAGGCACACACCUAACCUAAGGCAGAGCCACUGUGUCUCAGAUUUGCUCAUCUUAAAACGGUUUCCAAAUUGUUCUCCAAAGUAGUUGUACCAAUUUACGUUCCCACCAGCAGUUUACAAACAUUGCUGACCGCCCCCACCCACCACACUCAUCUAUUCCAGUGUUAUAGACUAAUUUUGCCAAUCAGAUUGUGUAAUAUGCUAAUUUUUGUUUUAAUUUGCAUUUCCGUGCUCACUAGUGAUAUUGAGAAUCUUGUUACUAUCUUUAUUGGCGUUCAAAUUUCUUCCCCUGUUAUUUGUCUGUUCACAUCUUUUGUCCAUUUGCUUACUGCUUUGGAAUGUCUAUGGUAAAUUGAUUCUUUGAGGCUUAAAUUUUUUAUUUUGGAGACUAAUUCUCUCUUGGCUGGUUAUCCAAGUUGAAAAUACCUUCUGCCAGCUGUGGCUUUAACAAAUUUGCUUAUUUUUUUGUCAUGUAGACAUUUUUGACUUUAAGGAAAUAAGAUUUAUCAUUUCCUUUCAUUUGUGUUUGUGUCUUAUUUAUUUUCUACUCUGAGAUC